rnacentral:ncRNA from 2 species
AUAACUAGGUUAGAACUCUGUGUAUUACACGGGUAGAGCACUCAAUGGGCUAGGGUGGCCCCAUUUCGGAUUUCGCCUUACCAACCCCUAAGGAAACUCCGAAUACAGGCAUUGAUCGUUUGUACAGACAUACCUUUUGGGUGCUAAGAUCCAACUCGAGAGGGAAACAACCCAAAUCGUACACUAAGGUCCCUAAGCAAUCACUUAGUGGAAAAUGAAAUGAUCGGGCGAUGUUAACUAGGAAGUGGGCUUGGAAGCAGCCAUCCUUUGAAGAAAGCGUAAUAGCUCACUGGUCUAGCUCCAUGGCACCGAAAAUGUAUUAGGGCUCAAGCGAUUCACCGAAGCGAGAAGGCCUUUUAGAUUUUAUA